GUUGACCUCGGAUUAGGUGGGGCUACCCGCUGAACUUAA
rnacentral:rRNA from 1 species